rnacentral:rRNA from 1 species
GACGAACGCUGGCGGCGUGCCUAAUACAUGCAAGUAGAACGCUGAAGAGAGGAGCUUGCUCUUCUUGGAUGAGUUGCGAACGGGUGAGUAACGCGUAGGUAACCUGCCUUGUAGCGGGGGAUAACUAUUGGAAACGAUAGCUAAUACCGCAUAACAAUGGAUGACACAUGUCAUUUAUUUGAAAGGGGCAAUUGCUCCACUACAAGAUGGACCUGCGUUGUAUUAGCUAGUAGGUGAGGUAAUGGCUCACCUAGGCGACGAUACAUAGCCGACCUGAGAGGGUGAUCGGCCACACUGGGACUGAGACACGGCCCAGACUCCUACGGGAGGCAGCAGUAGGGAAUCUUCGGCAAUGGGGGCAACCCUGACCGAGCAACGCCGCGUGAGUGAAGAAGGGUUUCGGAUCGGAAAGCUCUGUUGUAAGUCAAGAACGGGUGUGAGAGUGGAAAGUUCACACUGUGACGGUAGCUUACCAGAAAGAGACGGCUAACUACGUG